CAUUUAUGAUGACUAGCCAUGCUAAUACUGAGGGAACUUCUGGUUCUCACUGAGUUAAAAAAUUUCUCAUUAUUCUGAAAUGA